UACGAAGGGGGCUAGCGUUGCUCGGAAUCACUGGGCGUAAAGCGCACGUAGGCGGAUUUCUAAGUCAGGGGUGAAAUCCUGGAGCUCAACUCCAGAACUGCCUUUGAUACUGUCGGACUAGAGUACGGAAGAGGCGAGUGGAAUUCCCGGUGUAGCGGUGAAAUGCGCAGAUAUCGGGAGGAACACCAAUUGCGAAGGCAGCUCGCUGGGACGUCACUGACGCUGAGACGCGAAAGCGUGGGGAGCAAACAGG
rnacentral:rRNA from 1 species